GGCUGAAGUCAGGAGCCCAGGGUCCACAGAUCCAGGCCCACUCUCUCCCAUGGAGAGUCUCCCAUCCUGCCUCACUGUACCUUGGGAGGAAGAGCACAGAGGCACUUCCUUCUGAUGGCUGUCAGGAUGGAGGUCGUUAGAAGGACCUCCUGCUGGUGGUCCUCUUACCCACCCCUUGCUGACCAGUCCUGGAUCUGCAAUCUUGAUCUCUUCAUUUAUUUUCUAUUUACUACAAUAUCUGACCCCUCAGACCCCAGACCUGGUACACAGUGCUGUCCCAAUAGUAGCCGUAAUGAGUCUGCUUCCAGCAGUGUGAAGAAACCCCUGGUCUGAUCCACCCAGGACAGCACUUCUCCCGGGUUUAAACUCUGGGAGGAGGAGCUCGUAUGCUGAGGUCUGACACUGUGUUGGAUGUCUCAGCCCCACUCCCCACUCCAGACCACGCCCUGCAUGCCACCUGUCAACGAAGAAUGCACAGAAGCCAUGUGACAGGCAGAGAGUACCAGCACUCCACAGCCUUUCCCAGGUUAACAGUUUGUGUUUUAGAAUGUGGAUUCUGGUAGAAUCCAGCUGUCAUAUACAACAUCUGACUAUCCUGAAAAUGCCAAGAAGUGAGGAAGCCCAAGCAGUCACAUGAAAGGCUGAAUGGAGAGGGAGUGAUGCCUGGCUGGCCCUCAGCUAUUCAAGCCAUUCCCACUGAGGCAUCAGAUAUGAGAGUGAACAUCCAGCCCAGUUCAACCUUCUGAUGAUGCCACCAUCUGAGCAACUGCAUGAGAGAUCUCAGGUAAGAACCCACCCAGCUGAAUGCAGUCACCCACAAAAUUAACAGAUAUAUAUUUUUACUUUGAAGCUACAUUUUAUUAUGCACAUUUUAUUAAGUAAUAAAUAAUCAGAAAAUAUUCACCCACCAGAUAGCAUAGCCUGCAGCCUCUUAAAUAAUAGUUAUAAUAAGUUUUUAAAUGUCUAGAAAAUCCUUAUGGUAUACUAUUAAGCAAAGUAAGCAGAAUUGCAUAUUCAAUGUAAUCCCAACUAUGUAAAGAAAAAAAAAAGAAUAGAAAAAACUGGAAGGAAAUUUACCGUUGUGUUAACAGUAAUUGUCUCAGGGUAGUGAUAUUAUGAUUUUUGUUCUACUUCCUUUUAUAUUUUAGCAUGAAUUUCAUUAAUAAGCAUAGAAUUUAAAAAGCAAAGAACAGCUUUGUACCCAAUACAGAAUCAAUGACCCAAAGAAAUAGCCCUGGCUUUACGUGUUUCUGUCCUGAAUGACAAAGAAACACAUGCUCUCUUUCGAAAAGUAGUCAUGGAAGAGAUGGUUACAGCUUUCCCUUUACACAUUUUAUGGGCAGCACACUGUGCUGAUACAGAAGUUCAAUUUUUUAAAGACAUGUUCAAUUUAUUCUUUUUCACUUGAAAACUAGUCAAAUCCGAUGUCUAGAUUAAUCAGAAAGGAAUUUGGCUCAAGUUUAACUUCUGAGUCUUUCCUUGAAACAUUUCCAUCUUCCUUUCCUAGGAAAUUUUUUUAUUUAACUGUGAUAUAAUUAUUCAUGUACCAUGAAAUUCAUGCUUUAAAGUUUGUGAUCUAGUGAAUUUAGGAUAUUCACAAAGGUGUAGAACCAGCACCACUAUCUAACUCCAGAACACUUAGAUCACUCUGACAAGAAACUCCUGCCCACCAACAGUCAGUCCCAUUAUCUCCCUCCUGGCCCUGGAAACCACUACUCUAACUUCUUUAUAUAUAGGCUUGCCUAUUCUGAUUGUUUCAUAUAAAUGGAAUUAUUAUACAGAUGCAACUUUUGUGCCUGGCUUCUUUCAGGUAGCAUAGUGUUUUCAAGGUUCAUCCAUGUGGGAGCAUGUGUAAGUACUUCAUUCCAUUUAAUGGCUGAAUCAUACCCCAUCUUAUGCCACUUUUUAAAUACAUUUAUCAACAGAUAGACAUUCAAGUUGUUUUUCCAUUUCGGCUGUGAGCAUUCACAUAUUGUGAACAUAAUGCAGCUGUGAACAUUCAUGUAUAAGAUUUUGUGUCAUCAUUUGUUUUCAAUUGUCUUAUGUAUAUACCUAGAGUGGAAUUGCUGGGUGAUUUGGUAGCUGUAUACUUCACUUUUUAAGGAAUUGCCAGAAUGUUCUCCAAGUUGCAGCAUUUCAUAUUUCUACCAGCAAUGAAUGAGGGCUCUAAUUUUCCACAUCCUCAUCAAUACUAGUUACUGUUUGUCUUUUGUAUUCUAGCCAUCCCAAGGGGUGUGAGGGGAUAUCUCACUGUGGUUUAGAUUUGAAUUUCCUUAAUGACGAAUGAUGUUGAGCAGCUUUUCAUGUCCCUAUCGGCCAUGAAUUUUUUCUUUAGAAAAAUGUGUAUUCAAAUCCUUAGCCCAUUUAAAAAUCGGGUUAUUUGUCUUUUUAUUAUUGAGUUGUAAGAAUUUUUUAUAUAUUCUGUAUACUUGACCCUUAUCAGAUGUAUGAUUUGCAAAUAUUUUCUCUCAUUUUUGUUGCGGGAAGUCAGGGACCCCCAACGGAUGGACCGGCUGAAGCCAUGGCAGAAGAACAUAAAUUGUGAAGAUUUCAUGGACGUUUAUUAAUUCCCCAAAUUAAUACUUUUUUAAUUUCUUAUGCCUGUCUUUACUGCAAUCUCUGAACAUAAAUUGUGAAGAUUUCAUGAACACUUGUCACUUCCCCAAUCAAUACCCUUGUGAUUUCCUAUGCCUGUCUUUAAUCUCUUAAUUCCAUCAUCUUCAUAAGCUGAGUAUGAAUGUCACCUCAGGACCCCGGGAUGAUUGCGUUAACUGCAAAAAUUGUUUAAACAAUAUGAAAUCUGGGCACCUUGAAGAAAGAACAGGAUAACAGCAAUGUUCAGGGAACAAGGGAGAUAACCUUAAAGUCUGGCUGCCUGUGGGCCGGGUGGAACAGAGUCAUAUUUCUCUUCUUUCAAAAGCAAAUAGGAGAAAUAUCGCUGAAUUCUUUUUCUCAGCAAGGAACAUCCCUGAGAAAGAGAAUGCACCCCUAAGGGGAGGCCUCUGAAAUGGCCAUUUUGGGGACAUCUGUCUUUUAUGGUUGUAGAUAAGGGAUAAAAUAAGCCCCGGUCUCCCGUAGCGCUCCCAGGCUUAUUAGGACGAGGAAAUUCCCGCCUAAUAAAUUUUGGUCAGACCGGUUGUCUGCUCUCAAACCCUGUCUCCUGAUAAGAUGUUAUCAAAGACAAUGCGUGCCCAAAACUUCAUUAGCAAUUUUAAUUUUGCCCAGGCCUGUGAUCUCGCCCUGCCUCCAUUUGCCUUGUGAUAUUUUAUUACCUUGUGAAGCAUGUGAUCUCUGUGACCCACACCCUAUUCAUACACUCCCUCCCCUUUUGAAAAUCACUAAUAAAAACUUGCUAGUUUUGCAGCUUGGCGGGCAUCACGGAACCUGCCGACAUGUGAUGUCUCCCCUGGACACCCAGCUUUAAAAUUUCUCUCUUUUGUACUCUUUCCCUUUAUUUCUCAGACCAGCUGACACUUAGGGAACAUAGCAAAGAACCUAUGUGAAAUAUCGGGAGUGAAUUUCCCCCAAUAUAUUUUGUGAGUUUUCUUUUUACCUUCUUGAUAGUAUCUUUUGAAGCACAAAGUUUUUAAAUUUUGAUUAAGUCCAAUAUAUCUACUUUUUUAUUGUUGCUUGUACCUUUGGGGUCAUAUCUAAGAAAGCACUGCCUAAUCCAAGGUCACUAAGAUUCACACAUUUAUGUUUUCUCCUAAAAGUUUUGUAGUUUUAUCUCCUAUAUUUAGGUCUUCAGUUAAUUUUUGCAUGAAGUAGAAGCCCAAUGUAAUUAUCUUGUAUGUUAUAUCUAUCUAGUUGUUGUAGCACCAUCUGUUGAAAAGACAGUUUUUGUCUCUGUUGAAUUACACUGACAUCUUUGUUGAAAAAUCAAUUGUAUGGAUUCAUUUCUGGAAUCUCAAGUUUAUUCCAUUGAUCUAUAUGUCUAUCCUCAUGCCAAUACCAAACAGUCUUGAUUACUUUGUAGUAUGUUUUUAAACUGGGAGGUGUGAGAUUUCUAACUUUGUUCUUUCUUUUUAAAAUUGUUUUUGCUGGGAUCACACCUGUAAUCCCAGGACUUUGGAAGGCUAAAGGGGUGGAUCACCUGAAGUCAGGGGUUUGAGACCAGCCUGGCCAACAUGGUGAAACCCCAGCUCUACUAAAAAUACAAAAAUUAGCCGGGCAUGGUGGUGCGCACCUGUAAUUCCAGCCACUCAGGAGGCUGAGGCAGGAGAAUCGCUUGAACCCAGGAGGCAGAGGUUGGAGUCAGCCAAGAUCGCGCCACUGUACUCCAGCCUGGGCAACAUAAUGAUACUCCUUCUCAAAAUAAAACAAACAACAACAAAAAAAAUGUUUUGGCAACUCUGGGUUCCUUGCAUUUCCACAUGAAGUUUAGAAUCAGCUUGCCAAUUUCUAGAAAAAAAAGAGGCACCUAUGAUUUUGAUAGGUAUUGUGUUAAAUCUGCAAAUCAAUUUGCAGAGUUUUGCCAUCUUAACAAUAUUAAGCCUUCCAGUCCACAAACACAAGGUGUCCUUCCAUCAUUUAGGUCUUCUUCAAUGUCUUUCAAUGAUGUUUUGCAGUGUUCAGGGCACAAAUCUUGCACUUUUUUGUUAGAUUUACUCAUAAGUGUAUCAUUCCUUUUUAUGUUACUGUACAUGAAAUUGUUUUCUUAAUUCCAAUUUUAGAUUGUUCAUGCAUAAUACAUAGAAGUAUAAUUGACUUUUGUGUGUUGGUUUAGUAUCCUACAUCUUUGCUGAACUCACUUAUUGGCUCUAAUAGCCUUUGUGUCUGUGUCUGUGUGUGUGUGUGUGUGUGUGUGUGUGUGUGUGUGUGUGUUAACAUUUUCUCAAUAAAAGAUCAUGUCAUCUGAAAAUAGAAUUUUGCUUCUUUCUUCCCAAUCUGGGUGUCUUUUGUUACUUUAUUUCUUAUGAGCAGAGUUUCAUCUUGGUGCUUUCGUCAUUCCUGAAUGAUGCAAGAAGAACAACAUGCAACUUAUAGGGCUUUGGGUAAAAGCUGUAUUUCCCUCCGUGGAAGCUGGGACAAGUCACAACCUCAGAUGCUCACCCAUCCCU
rnacentral:lncRNA from 10 species